rnacentral:rRNA from 2 species
AAACUUUCAACAACGGAUCUCUUGGUUCGAUUGCAUCGAUGAAGAACGCAGCGAAAUGCGAUAAGUAAUGUGAAUUGCAGAAUUCAGUGAAUCAUCGAAUCUUUGAACGCACAUUGCGCCCCCUGGUAUUCCGGGGGGCAUGCCUGUUCGAGCGUCAUU